rnacentral:lncRNA from 1 species
CAUGGUGUGGGGAGGGAAGUCAUUACUGCACGCUAUCAGAGAGAAGAUGAGCCAGGUUAUUCAAGGAAGGGAGGGGAAAUGAAGAAACAUCACCUCCUUUUCAUGUUUAUUUCGUUUUUGUAUUUUUUUGUAUUUUUUUUAAGAUCACAGAAGAGCAGAGCAUUCAUACAUGUAAAGAAACAGAAACGAGAUAACAGAAGUUAAAUACAUUGAGAAAAGAAAAAAUAAAAAGCUUUUUCUUGUCAUCAUUGGGUUUUGUUCAUUCAUUUGUUGGGGUGUUUUUUCUUUUUUUUUUUGGUUCUUUUACACACACACUUGCGCUUUUAAAAUUUUUCACAGAGCUAGUUCCAAAAACAAAUCAAUGGCAAAAAAUAAAAUGGCUGUUUUCUCGUUUCAUUAAAGAGAAGUUCAGCUCAUGUCUACAGUGCUGGGGAAAAAUAUAUGACGCCGCCUUUGUGGAGGUGAUCUCUGGCCCUUCCCCCAGCCAUGCUCCCCCAGGAGCUUGGCUAUGCACAUGGCCCUACCACCCUCUCUGCAGUCAUGUCCUCCUGAUGUGCACUGCCCCUUCCUCCUCUGCUGCCCUGGUACAUCUUAUGGCUUGCAAGUCACUGUGGCACCAGCUAACCUGAACCUGAAACAACUUAAGGACCCUUUGCUUUCCACCUGUCUGGGCUAAUUAGGAGAGCUGCUCCUCUUUUCCAAGCCCUGCUCUGCCCGGUCUCCUUGACCCACACAGAUCUCCCCAAGCCACAGAGAUAUGGAGGACCAUACCAACAUAUCCUCACUGAGAUGACUUCUGCUUUCCUGCUGUGGUGAGUGACUCAACAAGCAAACACCACAGAUUGGCCUUACGGGAACCAAUCAUCAAUCAAAAUUUGGGGGGGGGGGGGGGGGGGGGAUGUAGGAGCUGCCUGAACACCUUUCUAGCACAUUGCAAAGAGGAAAAGAGAAGGAGGCUUUAAUGGUGUGACACAGCUCUUAGUCAGCAGGAAUCAUGCAGUUAAAAAAAUAUCUUCUGAGCAGCCCACUGGAAAUGAAGUCGCUCUAAGGUUAGCACUACAAGGCCAUGGUGUCCCUGCUGGCGUGCCUGGGAGAUCUGCGCAUGGAUGAUGGGCAUCGCUCCUCCCUUAACUUUUCCACUGGCAUCACAUCUUGGAUAUUAUCACCCAGCUGCUCCAUUACUUCCCUUCCUGACAUUCUGCUCUUUCAUGGCAAGGUCCACACUCGGCAUCCCUCACUCGAGAUGUUUUUGUGUCCUUGAGUCAGAAAAGCAGUAAGAUUGCGCACCAUCAGAAGAGAGAGACAGAGAGAGAGAACUGUCCAACCCCUAGAGUCUCCUCCACAGGAAUGUCUCAUUUAGCAAUCCUUGGUGCUGGUUGCUACAUUGUGCCAUAUACCAGGACGAUUUGGGCUGUGGGUCAGUGU